rnacentral:rRNA from 1 species
AACGUAGGAGACAAACGUUAUCCGGGGUUACUGGGCGUAAAGGGCGUGUAGGCGGUUUGUUAAGUCUGGCGUGAAAGCUCUCGGCUAAACCGGGAGAGGUCGUUGGAUACUGGCAGACUAGAGGACGGUAGAGGCGUGUGGAAUUCCGGGUGUAGUGGUGAAAUGCGUAGAGAUCCGGAGGAACACCAGUGGCGAAGGCGACACGCUGGGCCGUACCUGACGCUAAAGCGCGACAGCAUGGGGAGCAAACGGG